AGAACGAACGCUGGCGGCAUGCCUAACACAUGCAAGUCGAACGUGAUCCAGGCUUCGGCCUGGUGAAAGUGGCAGACGGGUGAGUAACGCGUGGGAACCUGCCCUGUGGUAGGGAAUAACCGUGGGAAACUGCGGCUAAUACCCUAUGAGUCCUUCGGGAGAAAGAUUUAUCGCCAUAGGAGGGGCCCGCGUCGGAUUAGGUAGUUGGUGGGGUAACGGCCUACCAAGCCUUCGAUCCGUAGCUGGUCUGAGAGGAUGAUCAGCCACACUGGGACUGAGAUACGGCCCAGACUCCUACGGGAGGCAGCAGUGGGGAAUAUUGGACAAUGGGGGGCAACCCUGAUCCAGCAAUGCCGCGUGGAUGAUGAAGGCCUUCGGGUUGUAAAGUCCUUUCGGCGGGGAAGAUGAUGACGGUACCCGCAGAAGAACGCCCGGCUAACUUCGCGCCAGCAGCCGC
rnacentral:rRNA from 1 species